AGCUCAGAGUAAUGUAAUACGAGAACAACUUGAUCCCACCAUUCCUGGCUUCAUGAUCAAAGAUGGAGCCAUGAGCCCAGGAAUGUGGGCAGCCUUUUGAAGCUCAAGCAGCAGUAGAAAGUUAACACUGAGCGGUUUGAUCGACCCUCCCAGCAAAGGAGGUUGUGAAAGCAAAUCAACAAGCAUUUUUAUGAGGAGUCUUUAACUCAGUUGGGAUUGCACAAUCAAGAAGCAUGACACUACAGAACACAGAGACAGAAAGGAAACGAACUGCAGAUGGAAGAGAACUUUGCAUCCGAGGCAACAGUCAUGGAAGAGCAGCCCAGACAUGCGUAACAGAUCACCUCACAAAGAGGAAAUAAGUGAGAACCCUGUAAGUUGGCAAAUGAGAAAGAAGCAUCCACGUAAGAACCACUUCUGCUUUCAAGAGUGGGAAGGUCAGCUUUCAUCCUCCUCAUCCUUACUCACCAAACC